GGAAACGAUAGCUAAUACCGCAUAACAAUGGAUGACACAUGUCAUUUAUUUGAAAGGAGCAAUUGCUCCACUACAAGAUGGACCUGCGUUGUAUUAGCUAGUAGGUGAGGUAAUGGCUCACCUAGGCGACGAUACAUAGCCGACCUGAGAGGGUGAUCGGCCACACUGGGACUGAGACACGGCCCAG
rnacentral:rRNA from 1 species